UGCGUAGGCGGACGAUUAAGUCCGAUGUGAAAGCCCCGGGCUUAACCUGGGAACUGCAUCGGAUACUGGUCAUCUAGAGUGCGAUAGAGGGGGGUAGAAUUCCUGGUGUAGCGGUGAAAUGCGUAGAUAUCAGGAGGAAUACCAGUGGCGAAGGCGGCCCCCUGGAUUGACACUGACGCUGAGGUACGAAAGCGUGGGUAGCGAACA
rnacentral:rRNA from 1 species